rnacentral:misc_RNA from 1 species
AAAAAUAAAAAAUAAAAAAAAUAUUUUAGACAAAAAUUUGGCACUAUCAUAAAACGAACAGAAAUAACAAUAUCACAUUGUCCAUUUGCAUUUGAUUUGAUAAGACACAACUCAAAGCUUUUUAAAAGGCUCCAUAUAAGGUGAUAUAAGAAUUUUAUCAGGGGCAUUUUCAUUCUGAAUCCAGUCAAGCAAUGAAUACAAAGGCAACAAGUUUGUAAGUUCCUAAAGCUGAGAUCAGCACAGCAUCUAAACCAGGAUAAAAGCCUUUAACAAUCAAGUUAGUACUUGAGGACUUACAGCUUCCAUUAGCAUUUGAAGAU